rnacentral:ncRNA from 1 species
UGCCCCGUUCGCGGGGCCGGGGAAGCCGUUCGAGCAGCGUCGUGUCGCGGUCCGGGACUGUCCUCAGUCCCGGGUCGUCUCGGCGCGGUUCCGAGCGGUCGCUCCCUCGCGAGGUGCCGCGGGUCAGCGGCUGACGCCAGCCACCUUCCCGACCCGUCUUGAAACACGGACCAAGGAGUCUAACAUGUGCGCGAGCCGCGGGGCAGUACGAAACCCGUAAGGCGAAAUGAAGGUGAACGCCGGCGCGGUCCGGCGGAGGUUGGAUCCCGUCCCGUCGGGGCGGGCGCACUACCGGCCGAUCUUCUCCGCCCUGUCGGCGAGGUCGAGCGAGAGCGUGCAAGUCGGGACCCGAAAGAUGGUGAACUAUGCCUGAGGAGGUUGAAGCCAGAGGAAACUCUGGUGGAGGACCGUAGCGAUUCUGACGUGCAAAUCGAUCGUCAAAUUUGGGUAUAGGGGCGAAAGACUAAUCGAACCGUCUAGUAGCUGGUUCCCUUCGAAGUUUCCCUCAGGAUAGCUGGCGCUCUGUCGCAGUUUUAUCUGGUAAAGCGAAUGAUUAGAGGUCUUGGGGGCGAAACGCCCUCAACCUAUUCUCAAACUUUACAUUGGUAAGAAGCCCGACUCGCUCGUUUGGAGCCGGGCAUGGAAUGCGAGUGCCAAGUGGGC